rnacentral:rRNA from 1 species
UACGUAGGGUGCAAGCGUUAUCCGGAAUUAUUGGGCGUAAAGAGCUCGUAGGCGGUUCGUCGCGUCGGCUGUGAAAACCCGAGGCUCAACCUCGGGCCUGCAGUCGAUACGGGCGGACUGGAGUUCGGCAGGGGAGACUGGAAUUCCUGGUGUAGCGGUGAAAUGCGCAGAUAUCAGGAGGAACACCGGUGGCGAAGGCGGGUCUCUGGGCCGAUACUGACGCUGAGGAGCGAAAGCUAGGGGAGCAAACAGG